AUGGCUGCCCUCGCCGCCCUCUUCGCCUCCCCGGCCCUCCCCUUCCCCUCCACCUCCGCCUCCUCCUCACCGUCAUGCUCCUGCCGCUUCCGCCCCGCCGUCGCCUGCGCGCCGCGCCACCCGCCCGCCUCCCGCCGCGUCACGCGCCGCUUCGACGAGGUGGAGGAGGCGUCGAAGAAGCGGCGGGGCGGUGGCAUUGGCGGCGGAGGCGGCGGUGGCGGCGGAGGGGGCUCUCUGGCGUCGUCAACGCGCAAGGAUAAGGGGCUUUCCGUCGACUUCAAGGAGUCGCAGGUUGCUGAUUUCGAGGAUCUUGAAGAGGACAAAUUCCUUAAUGCUGUUGUUAAGGUCUACUGCACUCAUAUUAGACCUGAUUAUGGGCUUCCUUGGCAGAAGCAAAGGCAACAUUCAAGCACUGGGAGUGCCUUUAUGAUUGGUGAUAACAAACUAUUGACAAAUGCACAUUGCGUUGAACAUGACACCCAGAUUAAAGUAAAGCGAAGAGGAGAUGACAAAAAGUACGUCGCCAAGGUCUUAGCUAGAGGCACAGAAUGUGAUCUUGCGAUGCUCUCUGUCGAGAAUGAAGAGUUCUGGCGAGGUACAGAACCACUUCAACUUGGUCGUUUGCCAUGUCUUCAGGAUUCAGUAACUGUUGUCGGGUAUCCUCUUGGUGGAGACACUAUAUCUGUGACAAAAGGCGUUGUAUCACGCAUUGAGGUCACACCAUAUGCGCAUGGAACAUCAGAUCUUCUUGGGGUUCAAAUUGAUGCAGCAAUAAACGCAGGAAACAGCGGUGGACCGGCUUUUAAUGAGCAAGGGGAAUGCAUUGGAGUAGCAUUUCAGGUGUUCAGGUCAGAUGAAGCUGAAAAUAUUGGAUAUGUUAUUCCAACCACAGUUGUAUCCCAUUUCUUGAAUGACUAUCGGAAAAAUGGAAAAUACACAGGAUUUCCUUGCCUGGGCGUCCUACUUCAGAAAUUGGAAAACCCAGCACUGCGUGAAAGCUUGAAGGUGCCUUCAAGUGAGGGUGUUCUUGUCCGCCGGGUUGAGCCUACAGCUCCAGCCAGCAGUGUUCUGCGAAAGGGAGAUGUGAUAACAAGUUUCGAUGGUGUUUCGGUAGGAUGUGAAGGAACAGUACCAUUUCGGUCCACUGAGCGAAUUGCUUUCCGCUACCUCACAAGUCAAAAGUAUGCAGGUGAUGUUGCCCAACUAGGUAUCAUUCGGGGAGGCAACAUCAUGAAAGUGCAAACCAUUUUGCAUCCAAGAAAACAUUUGGUGCCAUUCAAUGUUGAUGGGGGUCAACCUUCUUACCUGAUAGUUGCCGGCCUUGUCUUCACGCCUUUAACAGAACCAUUUAUAGAGGAAGAGUGUGAAGAUACUUUAGGGUUAAAAUUGUUGGCGAAGGCACGAUACUCUCUAUCAACCUUCGAAGGGGAGCAAAUUGUAAUUGUAUCUCAGGUACUGGCGAACGAUGUCAACAUCGGGUAUGAGCACAUGGGCAAUCAACAAGUCAUAAAACUAAAUGGAACUAUGAUAAAGAACAUCCACCACCUUGCUCAUCUAGUGGACACCUGUCAAGACAAGUUCUUGACAUUUGAAUUCGAAGAUGACUUCCUCGUUGUUUUGGAUCGGGAAGAAGCAGCGGCCGCGUCAUCAGAUAUCCAAAAGGAGCAUGCCAUCCCCUCUGUAAGGUCAUUGGAUUUAUCUGAGCCCUACGUCGACACAAACCAUGAUGUCCAAAACCAAGGCGAGGAUUUCGGCGACAGUCCCGUGACAAACUUUGAACUGGGUGUUGAUUGUCUGCUGUGGGCGUGA
rnacentral:rRNA from 1 species